CCACCGCUGAUCUCCCUCCCUCAUCCCCACGGACCCGACCAUAUCCUCCUCUCUCAGCCGACCCAUCGGCCUCCCUCUCCGGAUCAACGAACAGACUCGACCACAGCAGCUGGCCACAGACCCACAGUCCCUGCAGAUUGGCCUCCACAGAAACCAACCGCUACUCGCCGUCCUCCAACCGAACUCGCCAACCAGCAGCAGCCCUGCUCCAGCAGCACGCCCACAGAGCCGUCAGUGUCCACCCUCACCUCGGAGCCGCCAGCCACCAGAAGGAGAAAGAACUGAUCACAGAUCUAAAAAUUGAAAAGAACCAACCCGAGGAAACAGAUCUAAAAAAGAGUAAAAUCUACUGUUGUGUGCGUUUUUUGUUGUUGCAGGUCACGGUGGCCUUCACCGCCGGCAUGGAAGGGAAGAGGGGAUGAAGCCGCUCCAGACCCCCCUGCUGCCUGGAUUUUCUUGCGGCGGAUCGUGAACCCACGCGCCGCCAGUGACGGUGGCGUGUGGGAAGACGCGCCGCCACUGUUCAUGCUGUUCCAGAAGGGCUUCCCAGCACUGUUAUGGAGUUUUGAGGGGUUAUUUUGUAAUUUUCAAAUUGUUUAAUGUAAUAUUUGUUUAGUUUGAAUUUUUAUUUGUAUGUUGUAAAUGUGGAUGUAACAAAGAAAAGAAAAGAAAAAAUAUAGGGGAAGUGUAUGUGUGUUUGGAUUUGCUUUAUGGGUGUUUUAUUUUAUUUUAUUAUGUAUGAUAAAAUUGUAAAGAUUAAAGAAGAAUUUAAU
rnacentral:lncRNA from 1 species